GAUGAACGCUGACAGAAUGCUUAACACAUGCAAGUCUACUUGAACUUCGGUUUGGGUGGCGGACGGGUGAGUAACGCGUAAAGAACUUGCCUCACAGAUAGGGACAACAUUUGGAAACGAAUGCUAAUACCUGAUAUUAUGAUUUUAGGGCAUCCUAGAAUUAUGAAAGCUAUAUGCACUGUGAGAGAGCUUUGCGUCCCAUUAGCUUGUUGGAGAGGUAACGGCUCACCAAGGCGAUGAUGGGUAGCCGGCCUGAGAGGGUGAUCGGCCACAAGGGGACUGAGACACGGCCCUUACUCCUACGGGAGGCAGCAGUGGGGAAUAUUGGACAAUGGACCAAGAGUCUGAUCCAGCAAUUCUGUGUGCACGAUGAAGUUUUUCGGAAUGUAAAGUGCUUUCAGUUGGGAAGAAAAAAAUGACGGUACCAACAGAAGAAGUGACGGCUAAAUACGUG
rnacentral:rRNA from 1 species